rnacentral:lncRNA from 1 species
AUUUCCAACAUUUCCUUAGAUCAAUUGUGUUCUUUCACAAAUUUGAAAUUGACAAAACCACAAGAAUAAAUGCAAUCACUUACAAUCAGCAUCAAAUAUUGAACAAGCUCAAUUUGAAUUGACAUUGAACAUUGAACACAUGCAAUCACUUGGAAUUGAAAAACACAGGCACAAACGCAAAUAUAAACCCUAAUAACCUUAUGUAUGGAAUAUGAAUCAGGAGUUAGCGCUGAAGAAGGUGACAGAACUUACAAGAAUCGAAAAUGGAGAAUUGGAGAAGAACGGUGAGUUUGAAGGCUGUCGAGAGCGAACGAGACGUGAUACAAAGAGAGAUAGAGAGUCGCGAGCAUCAAUAACCCCUUUCUCACCCUACUGAAUUGAUUGAAGAAGGUAAAGUGAUUG